rnacentral:lncRNA from 1 species
GCGGGCAUGACGUAAAACAGCGAAUCAAAGAAUUCAACUUUAUUCAUAACUAAUAUAGGACAAUGCUGUUGAUUAAAAAAUACUCCAUUCCAGGACCUUUUGUUUUCCAAAUAAUUAAUAUUACCAAUAAUUGAUAAGUUCCAGUUCGACGGGUUCAAACAGAAAGAUUUGAAAGCAGAGAAAACUGUGUAUCUUAUAAUCGGCAUGACUUUAUCAGAUGACAAUACUAAUACUAAAAUAAGGCUUGCACAUAGUUAUAUACUUUAAUUCAGUCACGGACCCGCGAUAUGACGGGUGUGUUCUAGUGUUAUU